CCCCGGGGCCUUGUACACACCGCCCGUCACACCACGAAAGUCGGCAAUACCCGAAGCCGGUGGCCUAACCCGCAAGGGAGGGGAGCCGUCGAAGGUAGAGUCGAUGAUUGGGGGUG
rnacentral:rRNA from 1 species